rnacentral:rRNA from 1 species
CUACCUACGGGAGGCAGCAGUGAGGAAUAUUGGUCAAUGGGCGGGAGCCUGAACCAGCCAAGUCGCGUGAGGGAAGACGGUCCUAUGGAUUGUAAACCUCUUUUGUCGGGGAGCAGAGAGACCACGUGUGAUCAAAAGCGAGAGUACUCGAAGAAAAAGCAUCGGCUAACUCCGUGCCAGCAGCCGCGGUAAUACGGAGGAUGCGAGCGUUAUCCGGAUUUAUUGGGUUUAAAGGGUGCGUAGGCGGGAUGGUAAGUCAGCGGUAAAAAUGCGGAGCUCAACUCCGUCGAGCCGUUGAAACUGUC